rnacentral:rRNA from 1 species
UACAGAGGUCCCAAGCGUUGUUCGGAUUCACUGGGCGUAAAGGGUGCGUAGGUGGUUGCGCAAGUCUGAUGUGAAAUCCCCGGGCUUAACCUGGGAACUGCAUUUGUGACUGCAUAGCUAGAGUACGGUAGAGGGGGAUGGAAUUCCGCGUGUAGCAGUGAAAUGCGUAGAUAUGCGGAGGAACACCGAUGGCGAAGGCAAUCCCCUGGACCUGUACUGACGCUCAUGCACGAAAGCGUGGGGAGCAAACAGG